GUAAUUCAUGUGAAAUCCAGGGGUACCAUCUCUCCAGGGGAGGAAGUGUUUCGGCCUGGGGCGGGGGUACAACAGGGAAUGAGAAAGUUCGGACAUUCUGAGAAUCUGGCACUGGAUUAAUGUGAAAUGUCCUAGAAGAGUGUCCUGCAAGAAGGAGUCAGUUAGAGGACAUGGAGGGACACAAAAGCUGCAUUAUUAGCACAAGCAGGCAUAACCCUCACCCCAGCUAGGAAUGUGAUGUGUGCUCAUGGUCUGUGAGCAACCCUAGAUUUAGGAGGCAGGGUGUGGAAGCAGCACAGAACCAAGGGUCUGAAGAGCCAGCCUCUGGUUUUGGUGAGGUUAUUUACUAGCCAUCUGGUUUUGGACAGGUCAGUUGAUCACUCUAGGCUUCAGUCUAUCUGAGAAAUCAGAAAAAACAUCUUUGUCUCUAACACUUUACAAAUUUGGGGCUCUCACAGACCCUAGGAUCGUCCACGUCGAGAGCAAGCGCUUCCACACGGACACCUUCAAGCUCUGAGGGGAUAAAAGCAGGUCAUCGAUAGCCUGGCUCCCUCUCUCUCUCCCACUCCUCGGCCCUCCCCAGGCUCUGGCCCCUCCUAUGCAGACUUCCUAGUAGUAUUUAACAGACAGCUCACUGGCUUAUAACAUAAAUAGUCUUUUUCUUUCACCCUGUUUCUCAUAUUGUACAGAUGUGUCUACCUUAUAAGAUGUGAGCUCUUGAGGGGCGAUGCAUGACUUGCUUUGCGGCUCUGCUACCUGCCCCCUACCCCGCGCCCCCCAGCCAUGAGCAGGGAAUACUUAAAUGGUAUUGGCGAGAGUCAAGAUGACUGACUUUUCAUAGUUCCCUUUGUUUCUACCCUAUGACUGGGCUUCUUGCACAUUCUCCACACCUCCUCUCUCCCUCACUUCAGAAUCCACAUCAUCACCAAGCCCUAUCAGCUUUACCUCCCAGAUUCCUCUCAACCCCAUCUGUCAGCCGUCCCAUCUCCACCACUAAGCUCUUGUCCCAGGGGACCACCAUCUCUCGUCUGAAUUCCUGCAGUGGCCUCCCAACUGACGUCGCAGGUUUGAUUUGAUUUUAUAUUUUUGUUUUUAUGUAUGUAUGUAUUAUUUAUUUAUUUAUUUUGCGAUACGCAGACCUCUCACUGUUGUGGCCUCUCCCGUUGCGGAGCACAGGCUCCGGACGUGCAGGCUCAGCAGCCAUGGCUCACGGGCCCAGCCGCUCCGCGGCAUGUGGGAUCUUCCCGGACCGGGGCACGAACCCGUGUCCCCUGCAUCGGCAGGCAGACUCUCAACCACUGCGCCACCAGGGAAGCCCUUAUCCUCUUUUAUUUUCAUCAAAGGCUUUACACCUUCCUGAUCUUUUCUUGUUUACUUAUUUGUUUUGGUAAACUUCACUGGGGGGAGGGAGCCAUUUCUCCUAUUUGCCAUUCUUUCCCUGGCACCUAAAACAGUGCCUGCUAUGUAGUAGGUACUCAGUAAAUGUUCAUUGGAUGAAUUAAUGAAGGCGUGCUCACAGGCAAGGAACUUGUGCUAGAAAAGCAGCAGUGUGAGACAAAGCGGGACAGGUGAGUGAGGGUCACACCAAGAAGGCUCUUAGUUGCCAAACUGAGUUUGGAUAUUAUUCUCUGGGGAAUGGAGUGUCUGUCAUUGAUGGUUUUCCAAUAGAGGAGAAGCAUGGUCAGCAUUUGAGGAAGUUUGAUUUGGCAGCCAUGUGUAAGUCAUAUUCAAGAGAGAAAAAUUAAAGACGUUGCUUCAAUCCAUGACAUAAAGAGCUUAGUGUCUGACCCAUAGUGAGUCUCCAAUAAAUGAAUGUUAUCACCAAGCACUGUGGCAGGCACUGGGAGAUACAGAACAAAAAGUCAAGAUCAAUAAACCUUUCUACCUCAGAAGAAUUCUUCCUAAACCCUAGUGUCACAUUCCUUCCCUCCCCUUUUUGUCAAACUUCCAUUAAUAUUAAUAUAUAUUAUAUUCUCAGGGCUGUCAUGUCUAGGCUCUUUUAAUCAGGCUUCCCACCUCCAGCGUGCCUCUGGCUUAGAUUUCACUUUCCCCGUUUCCUGUAUUUUGCUGGUGCCAAGUCACGUAGCUUCUGCCUCCACACUGCCCCCACCCCCUUAAUUGUAAAAGCACCACGUGCUUUCUGUAAAAAUUUCCAAAAAAUACAGAAGCGCCCAAAGUAAAAAAAUGGAAAUGCCUUGUCUUUUCCUCAUUCCUUCCCACAACCUCACUCCCCGGAUUUCAACUCUGUGAUAAUCUGGCAUCCCAAAUCUUGUUCCUAGCUCCUCUUUUCCAUCCGCACUCCAGUAUCUGAACUAAAGGCAUGGUUUUUCCACCUCUUCUCUUUGAUUUUUCCCUUCAGUUCAGCUUGAAAAACAUUUAUUGAGUGCUAUGUACCAAGUCCUACACCAGACACUGGAAGUACAAAGACAAAACAGUGAAAGAGGUCCACAUUUAAAAAGCUGUUGUACUUGGGCAAGUUACUUUCUUUGACACUUACUUCCUUAUCUGUAAAAUGAGGAUAAGCUCAGUACCUUCUUUAUGGGGUUGGAUGAGGAUUAAUGAGAUGAUACAUAGAAUACUCUUUGCAUAGUGCCUGGUACAUUGUAUCUGCUCUAUAAAUGUCAAUGACAACAAUGAUAAUGAUGAUAAUCUUUGCCUUGGAGGAGUUUAUAGGUUAAUGAGGAAACUUGAAGAAUAAGAAUUACCUAGGUGAAGAAAGAUGGGAAAAUAUUUUUGGAAAAGCAGAGACAAGCAGUUUAAAUGAAAUUAAAAGGUUUUCAAGUAUUUCACUUUACUAUUUUGAAGGAAGAAUGGAUAAACUGAAAAUUGCUAGAGCAAACAGCCUGGAGUCAGGUUGUGAAGUGGCUUAUUUGGCAUGCUACGGACACUGGCGGUCUUUGCGAAGAGGUGCGAAUGGGACGGCCGCCGGCUAGGGCAAGUAUCCAGGACCGGGGCGGGUCUUGCCGUCGGGCGGCGCUGACAGCGAGUACAACUGGCGGGCAGGCUCCGCUUUCCUUCUUCCGCCUCCUGAGGGCGUUGCGGGCGCAGGGCGGGGCUAGGGGCGGGGUCAGGAGGCCCAGGCCCCGCCUCCUUCCGUCUGCUGCGGUCGGCGCGGCAGGGCGGGGCCGCUGGG